rnacentral:rRNA from 1 species
AUUGAACGCUGGCGGCAGGCCUAACACAUGCAAGUCGAGCGAGCGGCGGACGGGUGAGUAAUGUCUGGGAAACUGCCUGAUGGAGGGGGAUAACAACUGGAAACGGUAGCUAAUACCGCAUACCAUCGGAUGUGCCCAGAUGGGAUUAGCUAGUAGGUGGGGUAACGGCUCACCUAGGCGACGAUCCCUAGCUGGUCUGAGAGGAUGACCAGCCACACUGGAACUGAGACACGGUCCAGACUCCUACGGUAGGCAGCAGUGGGGAAUAUUGCACAAUGGGCGCAAGCCUGAGGCAGCCAUGCCGCGUGUGUGAAGAAGGCCUUCGGGUUUUAAAGCACUUUCAGCGGGGAGGCGUUACCCGCAGAAGAAGCACCGGCUAACUCCGUGCCAGCAGCCGCGGUAAUUC